GGCAGCAGCUAAGAAUAUUCCGCAAUGGACGAAAGUCUGACGGAGCGACGCCGCGUGGAUGAUGAAGGCCGGAAGGUUGUAAAAUCCUUUUAUGACUGAGGAAUAAGUUCUCUGAGAGAAACGGAGGAUGGUGACUGUAGGUCAUGAAUAAGCAACGGCUAAUUACGUGCCAGCAGCCGCGGUAACACGUAAGUUGCGAGCGUUGUUCGGAAUUAUUGGGCGUAAAGGGUAUGUAGGCGGUUCUGCAAGUCUGGUGUGAAAUGCCGGGGCUCAACCCCGGAACUGCGUUGGAAACUGCAGGACUUGAAUCGCUGAGGGGCAGCCAGAAUUCCAGGUGUAGGGGUGAAAUCUGUAGAUAUCUGGAAGAAUACCAAUGGCGAAGGCAGGCUGCCAGCAGAUGAUUGACGCUGAGGUACGAAGGUGCGGGGAGCAAACAGGAUUAGAUACCCUGGUAGUCCGCACAGUCAACUAUGUACACUGGGUGUCCGUGCAUGAGCAUGGGUGCCGAAGCAAACGCGAUAAGUGUACCGCCUGGGGAGUAUGCCCGCAAGGGUGAAACUCAAAGGAAUUGACGG
rnacentral:rRNA from 1 species